rnacentral:rRNA from 1 species
UGGGGAAUUUUGGACAAUGGGCGAAAGCCUCAUCCAGCAAUGCCGCGUGUGUGAAGAAGGCCUUCGGGUUGUAAAGCACUUUUGUCCGGAAAGAAAUCCUUGGCUCUAAUACAGUCGGGGGAUGACGGUACCGGAAGAAUAAGCACCGGCUAACUACGUGCCAGCAGCCGCGGUAAUACGUAGGGUGCAAGCGUUAAUCGGAAUUACUGGGCGUAAAGCGUGCGCAGGCGGUUUGCUAAGACCGAUGUGAAAUCCCCGGGCUCAACCUGGGAACUGCAUUGGUGACUGGCAGGCUAGAGUAUGGCAGAGGGGGGUAGAAUUCCACGUGUAGCAGUGAAAUGCGUAGAGAUGUGGAGGAAUACCGAUGGCGAAGGCAGCCCCCUGGGCCAAUACUGACGCUCAUGCACGAAAGCGUGGGGAGCAAACAGGAUUAGAUACCCUGGUAGUCCACGCCCUAAACGAUGUCAACUAGUUGUUGGGGAUUCAUUUCCUAGUAACGUAGCUAACGCGUGAAGUUGACCGCCUGGGGAGUACGGUCGCAAG